rnacentral:rRNA from 1 species
UACGUAGGUGGCAAGCGUUGUCCGGAAUUAUUGGGCGUAAAGCGCGCGCAGGCGGUCCUUUAAGUCUGAUGUGAAAGCCCACGGCUCAACCGUGGAGGGUCAUUGGAAACUGGGGGACUUGAGUACAGAAGAGAAGAGUGGAAUUCCACGUGUAGCGGUGAAAUGCGUAGAGAUGUGGAGGAACACCAGUGGCGAAGGCGGCAUCCUGGACCGACACUGACACUGAGGAGCGAAAGCCAGGGGAGCAAACGGG